UACGUAGGGACCAAGCGUUGUUCGGAUUUACUGGGCGUAAAGGGCGCGUAGGCGGCUUGACAAGUCAGGUGUGAAAUCCCCGGGCUUAACCUGGGAAUUGCGCUUGAAACUAGCGGGCUUGAGUGUGGCAGAGGGGGGUGGGAUUCCACGUGUAGCAGUGAAAUGCGUAGAGAUGUGGAGGAACACCGAUGGCGAAGGCAGCCCCCUGGGUCAACACUGACGCUCAUGCACGAAAGCGUGGGGAGCAAACAGG
rnacentral:rRNA from 1 species